rnacentral:rRNA from 1 species
AUUGAACGCUGGCGGCAGGCCUAACACAUGCAAGUCGAGCGAGCGGCGGACGGGUGAGUGAUGUAUGGGGACUGCUCGAUAUAGGGGGAUAACUACUGGAAACGGUGGAUAAUACCGCAUACUAGCGGAUAACCCAUAUGGGAUUCGCUAGUAGGUGGGGUAAAGGCUCACCUAGGCGACGAUCUCUAGCUGGUCUGAGAGGAGGAUCAGCCACACUGGGACGGAGAAAAGGCCCAGACCCAUACGGAGGCAGCAGUGGGGAAUAUUGCACAAUGGACGCAAGCCUGACGCAGACAUGCCGCGUGUAUGAAGAAGGCAUUAGGGUUUUAAAGGACUUUCAGCGGGGAGGCGUUACCCUAAGAAGAAGCAUCGGCUAACUCCGUGCCAGCAGCCGCGGUAAUUC